rnacentral:sRNA from 1 species
AUCGUGUCUGUUCGGUACUUUUUGUAAUAUGUGAAUUUUUUCUUUUAAAAGCUUAUAUAUUAAUAAUUUAUAAUGGAGGUCAUUUAAAUGACACAAGGUACAGUAAAAUGGUUUAACUCAGAAAAAGGUUUCGGUUUCAUCGAAGUUGAAGGCGGAGCAGACGUAUUCGCUCACUUCUCAGCAAUCCAAGGUGAAGGAUUCAAAUCUUUAGAAGAAGGCCAAAAAGUUGAAUUUGAAGUUGAAGAAGGCCAACGCGGACCACAAGCAGCAAACAUUGUAAAUCUUUAAUUUAGAUUAAAUUACAAAAAUUAGAGAAAUCCUUUCGAGGAUUUCUCUUUU